UGGAUUAASAGCUUGCUCYUAUGAAGUUAGCGGCGGACGGGUGAGUAACACGUGGGUAACCUGCCCAUAARACUGGGAUAACUCCGGGAAACCGGGGCUAAUACCGGAUAACAUUUUGAACCGCAUGGUUCGAAAUUGAAAGGCGGCUUCSGCUGUCACUUAUGGAUGGACCCGCGUCSCAUUAGCUAGUUGGUGAGGUAACGGCUCACCAAGGCAACGAUGCGUAGCCSACCUGAGAGGGKGAUCGGCCACACUGGGACUGAGACACSGCCCAGACUCCUACGGGAGGCAGCAGUAGGGAAUCUUCCGCAAUGGACGAAAGUCUGACGGAGCAACGCCGCGUGAGUGAUGAAGGCUUUCSGGUCGUAAAACUCUGUUGUUAGGGAAGAACMAGUGCUAGUUGAAUAAGCUGGCACCUUGACGGUACCUAACCAGAAAGCCACGGCUAACUACGUGCCAGCAGCCGCGGUAAUACGUAGGUGGCAAGCGUUAUCCGGAAUUAUUGGGCGUAAAGCGCGCGCAGGUGGUUUCUUAAGUCUGAUGUGAAAGCCCACGGCUCAACCGUGGAGGGUCAUUGGAAACUGGGAGACUUGAGUGCAGAAGAGGAAAGUGGAAUUUCCAUGUGUAGCGGUGAAUGCGUAGAGAUAUGGAAGAG
rnacentral:rRNA from 1 species